CUUAUUCACGAUUCAUCGUUUAUUUAUUUCUUUUAUGUGGUCAAACUUUUUUAUUAUUAUUAUUAUAAAUAAAACGGGAACGGCUACAUUUGAAGGGGGAAAUAAAUAUAAAAAGAUCCGAAUUUCACAAAAGGCUUUCAUAAUUCGGAUCUUCUUACUUAAAACCUUAAACAACGAUGGAUCAUGGAUCUCAUCAUGUUCUUAUU
rnacentral:sRNA from 1 species